AAAGUCGUAACAAGGUAACCGUAGGUGAACCUGCGGUUGGAUCAUUAAAAAGAUGUAGACCUGAAGAGAAUCCAAGAAUGGCGAGAUAAUUUGCUGUUCUCCUAGGGGUUCUUGAAAGGCAUACCACCAACCUAUUGUGCACUGUAUUGUCUCUGGCAGCGGGGUAGCAGCGAUGUCGGAAAUUUUUUUUUCGAUGGGUGGUUGCUACCUGUCAGCCCGGAUUAAGCUGGGCCGUGGACAAACUGCCAACCGUGUAAACAAACCCAAUUUAUAUUUUAAUGUCUUACAUUGUUUGAUUACAAACAUACAAACAACUUUUGGCAACGGAUCUCUUGGCUCUC
rnacentral:misc_RNA from 1 species